GUCACAGCCAGCAGCGGAGCAUCGCGUACCUGCGCAGAAAACAUUCCCUUGGCCAGCAGGAAUUGCCUCGUUUCUCAUUACGAGGUGAGGACCCACGUACGCAUCGGAAAUUGGAGUUUUAUAACCCUGGUUCUUCCCGUAAAUGCCCCAGAAUGUUCACCAGGAGUUCUGUCCAUGGACAGUCUGAUUUCUGGAAGAUUCUGGAAGUGUGGUGGUGUCAAGAGGAGGGGUUGGUGUUGAACUUUCAUUCGUCCUGGGAUAGGAAGCGGACUCAUUACCAUCGGACCUGUAAUCAAAUACAGAAGCACAAUGAGCGUCAAGACUUACAUACAAAUCUCAAUUUUAUGCUGUAAUUUAUAUACAUAUAAUAUUUCAAAUAUCUGUAAAGUUUUGAUUGUAGUGCAGAGCGGUGCUGAGUGGCAGAAAAUCCACUGAUUAACAGGCUGCUUAUGUUUAGUGAUGCAUAUGAUGAAGAACGUCUUAAAUUGAAACCAUUGCACUCUUUGCGGUAGGUUUGCUUCUUCUUUAGCAGUUGUGUGUUUUGCCUUCAUCUACAGGCACUGUUUAAUACCUUUGUUAUCAGCAUGAGCAGUGGUGUUGAGGGCACUCCCAGCAAGUUUUCUGAGCUGUCCUAGGGUACAGUAUUUCUGAGUAUUUCUAAGUAUUUCUACAGUAUAGUUUUCUGAGCCGUAUAGGGUACAGUAGCAUUUGAGUAAAUGCUACAUGGCAAGAAAAUUUAGUUCAGCAUCACGAAAAAUAAAGCUGGUUAAUAAUGGAUAAGGUUAUGCUACUGCUACUAUUUAUGCCUUGAAAGUGCAUAUAUUUCAAGGACAAGAAUGUAGAGAAAAGGGUUGCUGUUGCUUCAGUUUCUGUCAGAACAAGAGCAAAUGGAUGAAUAUGGCAGAAAAAUUGUUUUCUAUUUCUCUAUUUUGUUACGUCAGAGGAGCAAUUUCCCAAAAGAUUCCACCCAUCACAUGGAAAAUAAUUACACUGUUCAUACUUGCUGAAAAGAAAAAAAAAGGCUGGAGCCCUCUGUGCUCCUGGAAGGAUUUCCACUUGGUGACUCAGUUACCGAGAACCAUCAACAGAUUAUUGUGCAGUAGAACACAACUUUUGAUGAUUACUUCAGACUUCAGCCAAAAUUAGGUUUUAUUAUCCCUUGGGUUAUCUUUCAAACAUUUGCAAAUUAGAUGACUAAACUGUAAGAAUCAGCUCAGUUCCUUGUGGUCCUACAGUACUGCAUUUUCAUCUGUCUUCUUUUGGUUCUUUGCAAGUACAAAGUGACUUCCUGAGGCACAGGGCAAGAAUAACUGAAAUUCUUUGCUGCACUAUGCAGAAGGUCAUGAAAUGUUCAGAAUUACCCCUUUUAACAAUAAUCUGUAUUAAUCUGUAAAUCAAUGAAUAGCAAAAGCUGCUUCAGCUGUUAGGACUCAUUAGUGUUUUAGCUCAUGCAGAACAAUCUGUUCUCGCUUCUUUUGCUUCUAAAGACAUACAGAGGAAAAUCCUUAACCAUUUUCUGAGUGCAAAAGUUGUAUCAUUAUAUUCAAAUUGCUCAAAGUAGUGGUUUUUUCCCCUCAUGGAGAAGGAAAUCAUAUUCUUCAACUCAAUUCUCAUUUACCUAAGAAUUGGGAGAUGAAUAAAAUCACAGGGUCCCUUUCUACUGCUCUGAUUAAGUCAAACUUGGAUAUGAUGAAAGCAAAAAGAUAUAGUGCCCCAUGGCCAAAUCUGAUGUUAUGUUACAAAACCUGGGUAAAACAAAGCCUUAAUUCUACAAUACCACAAAAUGGCCAACUAAAUGAAACAGUAUUUCUCUAAGAGUGUUGGCAAAACAUAUCUCCACUUCAAAGCUGAUUAAUUAGCAAUUUUUUUAAGCACAAGAAUUGUCUGUCAGCAGCAGAGUACAUGAAAUCAGUUAGCUAACUGUGGUCAACGUGUUUCACAGAACUUUUUAAUAGAACCUGAGGCAUCUAAAUGCCAGAACCAUAUAAACUUCAUGGAAGUCUGGGAAAUACUUUUGAUUUCAACAAGAGGCUGUUCAAACCCUUAAUAAAUCCUAUUAAAUUUACUAAGCUCUAAUUCCUUGGAGUAGGAGACCAGACAGAUUUGUGAUAUGAAACAUAAGUAAUAUUUAUGUCAUUCUUUUAUCUUGCUUAAAUAGAGAUUAAUUGUCUAGUCCUUUUUGUAUAAAACAUACAUAUAUGAUGCAGUCACUGAGUUUUUAUUACUUCCUGUGUUAUUAAAUUACCUAGGCUUAUCCUGUGGACUAGAUUGCCUUAUAUAGAAUUCAUAUUUUAAUUGUUUUGGAUUCUGAACCCUUUGGAGUUCAUUUGAAGCUGAUACUCAAAGCAAACCUUGGGUUGUUAAAGCCCACACUAAGUGAAAUAUUAAAAAAAAAAGUAUGAACAAGCCCUGUGGAAUGCAAAUGUCAUAUUUCACACGUCUUUGAUAAACACAGAUCUCCCUCAUUUGCCUCCUGUUUAGGCUCAGUUUCAAGAGUUUGCUGCUGUAGUUUGCACGGUGAGCAAUGGGCAGGUCCCUGCGGCGUUUCAGCCACUGCCAUACGGUGCUGGCAGGCACCAGAUACAAGAAAGCUUCCUUCCUUGGCAGACCCUGUCAUGCAGCUGCCAGGGGUACUGCAGCACUGCCAGUCUUUAGGCCCAGCUCCUCUGCCUGUCUCUGAAUGAUUUCUCAAUGUUUGGCACAAAGGAGAGAAGGAAGGUCACUUCCCACAUCCAGAAGUGGCUGUUGGACCUUGCUGACACAAGGCUGCAUUUUGCUGCCCUAAACUUCCUCCUAAUAAGCUAACUUACUGGGCACAGAAACUUCUUCAAGCCUCAUGAAAGCUACUGUGCUGAUAUAAUCUCCCUAUAAGU